rnacentral:lncRNA from 1 species
GCUGAGCACUCGGCCUCCUUCAGGCCAUCUGGGACCAGCCAUGCCAGACACCGCCGUGGGCUCAUUUGCAGCUGCCACCUGCACAUGGCCGGCAGCCGCAAUGCUGGCAACCCCUGACCUUGCAGGCAUCACCAGCUGCAGGGACCACAGGGCCAGAUACCUUCUAGGUGCCUAAUUCAGACGGUCGGCCUCGCAGCUGUAGUAGGGCUGGAACUGGCCUUCAGCCCCAUUCCUGUGGCUGUUCAAAGCCGAGCACCCGUGACCUAGCAAUAUGGGCGGGGGCCAAGAAAGAGCGGACCCUAGGUUGGGGCGCUGAGCACUCGGCGACCCUCAGGCCAUCUGGGUCCAUUCCUGCCAGCCUUUGCCAUGGGUUCAGCUGCAGCUGACACCUGAACAUGGCCGGGGUCAGCAACCGGGGCAACCCGGACUGUUUCCUUGACUGCUAUCGCGGUCCACGGGGCCAGACGCUGCGGUGGCGCCUAAGUCACGCAGUUGCACCCGCAGCUGCAGGAAGGUGGAAACCAGUGCCCAGUCCCAUCCUGGUGGCUGCAGAGUGCCCAGCUCCAGGGACCCCUGGGCGCCUCAGCUGCAGCUGCCACCUGCAUGCUGUGCCCACGAGAUCGCGACUCAGGACGAUUUCUGGCCACGGGCAGUUUGUGGCCACGCGCGGGGCCGUUACCUUCUGAGGUGCCAGUGCGCGCUGGGGCCCAAUGGCUCUGCUCCGUAUAUUUCUUCUCCGAGAGGUUGGAGACGUCCCUCUCAGAGAAGUUGGAGGGUCCCUGUCUGAGGUCUGGGCCAGACCGUCUUGCUUUCCGGUGCUGGUCAGGGUGGGGGCUGGGCGGGGGGAAGGGCCAGGGCUAGUUGUGGCGUCUCUGAAGCCGAUAGCCGGGCCUUGAAGAAGAUCUUAGCUGUGGAGAGCCAGAAUGGCCAGGUGCCCCUGAGCUCCUGGAAUAACCGCAUAUUCUCUGACCUCAUCUGGUACCAGACCCCAGAUGAGGAUCUGGAAGAUCCACAAAGCUGCGUCCAGGGAAACGCGUGGAAGCUGCAGCGGAGCCUCCUGCUCAAGAGAAAAGACCAGUCUGAAACCUACAAGAAGAACAG